rnacentral:rRNA from 1 species
UACGUAGGGUGCGAGCGUUGUCCGGAAUUAUUGGGGCGUAAAGAGCUUGUAGGCGGUUUUGUCGCGUCUGCCGUGAAAAUCCGGGGCUCAACCCCGGACUUGCGGUGGGUACGGGCAGACUAGAGUGUGGUAGGGGAGACUGGAAUUCCUGGUGUAGCGGUGAAAUGCGCAGAUAUCAGGAGGAACACCGAUGGCGAAAGGCAGGUCUCUGGGCCACUACUGACGCUGAGGCGCGAAAGCCAGGGGAGCGAACGGG